CCACCUCGGCCCUCUAACUCAAGUCCCAGCGGUCUAGAUGGCGUCGCUGGGUUAGAGGCAAACGGCCCUGGUCGAGCCGCCCAGCUCUCUCACCUUGGGUUGUGGCUUAGGUUCAGCGCGAUCCAGGGUACGAAGCGGUAUUUGUAACGACGCCAUCGCUGCCAGAGGCCGCGCAGCAGGCGGCCCGGCAUGGCUGUCCUGUGGUGCCGUGAAGAGGACGGCACUGGGGAGGCGGGUUUUCUUGGGCCCGCCCCGACCCGAGGAGGAGCAGAGGCUGCGCCGUCCCUCCCCUUCGCGGUCUCAGCACUCAGUGCCGCGCUCGGCGGCCCCGGUACCUCCUGGUCUCCUAUCGCCGUGUCUCCGUGCCUCUGCUUUAUUGACCCCAGCUCGCUGAAACAGAGAGUGAAUUAUAAUGACACACUAUCAAAUGUUGCACCAUCCUUGGAUUCCUGAGAUAACCCUACUCAAUUGUGACUGAGGAAGCUAUAUAAGCAUGGGGAGACCUGGAGGAGAUUACGGCAGGGGAGAGGCGCUGGGGCUCAGCUCGGAGGACUAAUACUACCCACUCUGCACAGACUGUGUGUUUUAAGUGCUUUACUCUCAGGCCCAGAGGUAGUUCUGUUUAUCCUCAUAAUAUGAUGUAAUAUAAAUAAUUCAUCAAGGAGGUGCUAUUAUUACACCCAUUUUAUAAACAAGAAAACGGACAGUAGACAGAAUAAGUCACAUGGCUGUUAAAGGAUGGAACCAGGGUUUGGGCCCAGGUCUGUAUAACUACAAAGCCCAAGCUUUUAAAUGAGCACAUGUGCAACUCAAAUGCUAAAAAUCUCAAACAUUACAUUAUUCUCUGGUGGAAGUGGAGAGAAUGGAUUUGGAAGUUGUCAGAAAGGUAGAACAGCCUUGGCCUCUGACUUAGGUGUGAAUUUUUUAAAUACAGGAAAUAACAGAUUAAAAAAUUUGUGA